rnacentral:rRNA from 1 species
GCCCGCCGCUCCGUCGUCCUCUCCCCGCCCGCCCCGCAGCCCCCGAUGGACUUCCCGGCCGACGGGAACAACAACCCCCCGCCCCGCCGCCGCGGCGGCCGCGCCUCCAACGCCGACAAGGGCAAGGAGCAGCAGGAGCCCUCGGAGAGCUCCCGCGUGCGCGAGGCCGAGCGGAUGCUGGGCCUCAGCUUCGACGGCAUGGACGACGACGACGAGGGCCACGGGGCCUUCCCCCACGGCCUCACCUCCGCCAGCAGCGCCCUGCAGGGGCUGCUCAGGAAGCUCGGCGCCGGCCUGGACGACAUGCUGCCGUCGUCCGCCCUCUCCGCCGCCGCCGCGGCUGCCUCCUCGUCGUCCAUGUCUGGGCCGAACGGCGCGCGGAUGAAGAGCAUGCUCGCGGGUCUCCGUGCCGACGGGGAGGAGGGGCGCCAGGUGGAGGCGCUGACCCAGCUCUGUGAGAUGCUGUCCAUCGGCACCGAGGACACCCUCGCCGGGUUCUCGGUGGACUCAUUCGUGCCUGUUCUGGUCGGGCUGCUCAACCACGAGAGCAACCCUGACAUCAUGCUGCUCGCUGCGCGGGCCCUGACCCACCUCUGUGACGUGCUGCCGUCGUCCUGCUCUGCCGUUGUGCACUAUGGCGCCGUGGCAUGCUUCUGCGCCCGGCUUCUCACCAUUGAAUAUAUGGACCUUGCGGAGCAGUCCUUACAAGCACUCAAGAAGAUAUCCCAGGAGCAUCCAACUGCCUGCUUGAGGGCUGGCGCGCUAAUGGCAGUGCUAUCAUAUCUUGACUUCUUCUCCACCGGUGUUCAAAGAGUUGCGUUAUCUACAGCUGCCAAUAUGUGUAGGAAGCUUCCUUCAGACGCCUCAGAUUUUGUAAUGGAAGCGGUUCCACUGCUAACAAAUCUUCUGAACUACCAUGAUGCAAAAGUGCUGGAACAUGCUUCUGUUUGCCUGACUCGUAUAGCAGAAUCGUUUGCUUCAUCCCCAGAGAAAUUAGAUCAAUUGUGCAAUUAUGGAUUGGUUGCACAAGCUGCUAGCUUAAUAGCUGUUAGCAACUCAGCGGGACAAGCAUCACUGAGUACAUUAACAUAUACAGGAGUAAUUCGUGUUCUGUCAAUAUGUGCAAGUGGAUCUCCAUUGGCAGCUAAAACACUCCUCCUCCAUGGAAUUAGCGGCACACUUAAAGAUAUCCUUUCAGGUUCUGGUUUGGUUGCUGGUACAACUGUAUCCCCCACUAGGCCAGCUGAUCAGAUGUAUGAAAUUGUGAACCUUGCCGACGAAUUGCUUCCUCCUCUACCUGCUGGAACCAUUUCUUUACCAGCGCAUUCCCAUGUUUUUAUGAAAGGCUCUUCUGUAAAGAAACCUGGUUCUAGCAAGCAAGGCGAGUCUGGUUCAACAGAUAUUAAAGUCUCGGGUCGGGAGAAGUUAUUACGUGAUCAGCCUGAACUUCUCCAGCAAUUUGGCAUGGACAUAUUACCUACCAUGACACAGGUGUAUGGCUCCAGUGUAAAUGGACCAAUACGUCAUAAAUGCUUAUCUGUCAUUGCUAAAUUAAUGUAUUACAGCUCAGCGGAAAUGAUCGAAAUUCUCCAUGGCACAACAAACAUAUCCAGCUUCUUAGCUGGCAUCUUAGCUUGGAAAGAUCCACAUGUGUUGGUUCCCGCUCUCCAGAUAGCUGAAAUUCUGAUGGAAAAGCUCCCUGGGACAUUUUCGAAGAUGUUUGUGAGGGAAGGUGUUGUUCAUGCUGUAGAAUCGCUUAUAUGCCAGGAAAUCUCAAGUCCAAUGCUUUUUCAAGUACCACAGCAGGACAAGGAUAUUGAUUCUGGUACAUGUACAUCUUCACGUUCAAGACGCAGCCGCCGGCGCAGCAGUGCUGGGAAUACUGAUAAUAAUUCCUUGGAUGAACCAAAGGGUUCCCAUACUACUAUUGCCAAUUCACCACCAAGCACGCUAGAAGGUCCAAAUACUAGAAUUCGUGCUUCAGUUAGUGAUCGUGCGAAGUCAUUCAAAGAUAAGUACUUCCCCUCUGAACCCGGCUCAAGUGAUAUUGCAGUUACUGAUGACCUUUUGAAGCUACGGGCACUCUGUGCAAAAUUAAAUGCCACUGCGGACACUGUUAAAACAAAAGCCAAAGGGAAAUCAAAGUCACUGGGAGGUGAUGAUUUUGAUAUCUUAUGCAAUGUCGAGGAACAGUUAGACGAUAUCAUAGAUAAAAUAUUGUCUGAGCUUAGCAAUGGGGAUGGGGUUUCCACGUUUGAGUUUAUUGGGAGUGGAGUUAUCUCAGCAUUGCUUAAUUAUUUGUCUUGUGGAACCUUUGGAAAGGAAAAGGUGUCCGAAGCAAACCUACCCAAGUUGCGUCACCUGGCACUCAGGCGAUAUAAAGCAUUUAUAUAUGUUGCCCUUCCAAAUGAUGCGGUAGGGAAUCAAACUCCAAUGGCAUUCUUAGUUCAAAAACUGCAAAGCGCGUUGUCUUCGCUGGAACGGUUCCCAGUUGUGAUUAGCCAUUCUGGAAGGACGUCCAGUUUGGGAGGAUCUCGUCCAUCCUCUGGAUUAAGUGCUCUAUCUCAGCCCCUGAAGUUGCGCCUGUGUCGAGCAGCGGGUGAAAAAAUGCUUAAGGAUUAUUCAUCCAAUAUAGUUCUUAUUGAUCCCUUGGCAAGUUUAGCAGCCGUUGAAGAUUUCCUUUGGUCUAGAAUCCAGCGUAGCGAGUCAAUAUCUUAUCCUGCAGUAUCAUCUGGAAAGAAUUCUGAAUCUGUGGCACCUAGUGCAACAGCACCAGUGGCUUCGUCAACUCAAUCUGUCCGGCGGCCCUCAACUAGGUCGAAAUCAUUGGCUGAUGCUGAUUCUGCAACUAAGAAGGAUAUUCAGGAGGGGAGCGGAAACACAUCCAAGGGAAAAGGCAAAGCUGUUGUUAAGUCGACGUCCGAUGAACCUAAAGGACCACAUACUAGGACUGCAGCACGCAGAAAAGUUGCUUCACAGAAAGAUGCAGAAGUGAAGCCACCACACGGUCACAGUAGCUCAGAGGACGAAGAACUGGGCGCAUCUCCCUUCGAGGCUGAUGAUGCUUUGAUGCUUGGUGAUGACGAUGAUGAUGUUUCAGAUGAUGAAGACGAUGAUCAUGAGGUUCUACGUGGGUCUCUUCCUGACUGUGUUCCAGAGAGUGUGCAUGAUGUAAAACUGGCAGAUGCUGAUGGAUCUAGUAUUGCCUCAAUAGCAAGUGAUAACCAGACACAACCCUCAUCUGGCUCCAGCAUAAAACAUACUUUUAGUAGCAGGGGAGCAGGUUCUGUUGAACUUAGAAAUCCAAGCACACUUGGUUCGCGGGGCGCGAUGUCGUUUGCUGCAGCUGCCAUGGCUGGGCUUGCUUCUGUUGGUAGUCGUGGUAUCAGAGGUAGCCAGGAUAGGCGUGGCCUUCCACUUGGAACUAGUGCACAUGAGCAUUCGAACAAAUUGAUUUUUACAGCUGGCGGCAAGCAGCUUAGCAAGCAUUUGACCGUAUAUCAAGCUAUGCAACAGCAAGUAGUUCAUGAUGAGGAUGAUGAGGAAAGGUUAGGUGGUUCUGAUUUACCCAAUGAUGGAAGCCGUCUCUGGAGUGAUGUGUUCACUAUAACAUAUCAAAAGGCUGAUAACGAAGUGGAUAGGGAAUCAACCAGAGGUUCAUCUUUAGUGCUGAAAUCGUCCAAAUCAGAACUUUGCAGAGCUACAUCUCAAGAACAAUGUAUUUCUCUUCUUGAUAGCAUUUUGCAAGGAGAACUUCCUUGUGAUAUUGAGAAAUCGACCCAAACUUAUAAUAUUUUAGCACUAUUGCGUGUAUUGGAGGGAUUGAAUCAGCUAUCUCCUCGUCUGAGACUACAGGCAACCUGUGAUGAUUUUAUAGAGGGAAAAGUUGGUACCCUGGAUGGGUUAUAUGGCACCGGAGCUAAGGUACCCUCAGAGGAGUUUAUCAGCAGUAAGUUGACACCAAAGCUUGCUCGGCAAAUUCAGGAUGUUCUUGCACUCUGCAGUGGUAGUUUACCUUCUUGGUGUUAUCAGAUGACCAAAGCUUGUCCAUUUCUGUUUCCUUUUGAAACAAGAAGACAACACUUCUACUCCACAGCUUUUGGGUUAUCUAGGGCAUUGAAUCGUCUUCAGCAACAACAGGGUGAUAAUAAUAGCUCAGCGACUGAAAGAGAAGUCCGGAUUGGUAGAUUGCAACGCCAGAAAGUUCGUGUUUCUCGUAACCGGAUCCUGGAUUCUGCUGCCAAAGUAAUGGAGAUGUUCUCCAAUCAGAAGGCUGUUCUUGAAGUUGAAUACUUUGGUGAAGUGGGAACUGGACUUGGUCCAACUUUGGAGUUCUACACCCUCUUAAGUCAUGACCUGCAAAGGGUUGGCUUGGGAUUAUGGAGAUCUGAUUCUGAUUCUUUAGAAGCUAAAAAAGUUGAUUCGCAUUCACCUGCUGAUAGCAGGAACUUGAUACAAGCACCUCUUGGCUUGUUCCCUCGGCCUUGGCCACCUAGUACUGCUUCUUCAGAGGGUAGUAAAUUCUUCAAAGUUGUGGAGUAUUUCCGCUUAGUUGGUCGAAUCAUGGCAAAAGCAUUGCAAGAUGGAAGGCUUCUUGAUUUGCCUUUGUCAACAGCAUUUUAUAAGCUUCUACUUGGACAAGAACUUGAUUUGUAUGACAUACUAUCUUUUGAUGCUGAGCUUGGUAAAAUACUUCGAGAGUUGCAAGUUCUUGUUGAACGCAAGCGAUUUCUGGAGUCCUGCUCUAAUCAUAGUCAACAAAUAGAAGAAUUGGGCUUUCAUGGUGCUCCUAUUGAAGACCUAUGCUUAGAUUUUACUCUUCCGGGCUAUCCGGAUUUUGUUCUGAAGGAAGGUGAAGAAAAUACAGUGGUCUGCAUUUACAACUUAGAAGAGUACAUUUCGCUGGUAGUGGAUGCUACACUUAAGACUGGAAUAAUGCGUCAAGUAGAAGCAUUCAAAGCUGGAUUUAAUCAGGUAUUUGAUAUAUCAUCACUCCAAAUAUUUUCUCCUCAAGAGCUUGACUAUCUCAUUUGUGGUCGACGGGAACUUUGGGAGCCGGAGACACUGGUCGAACAUAUAAAGUUUGAUCAUGGUUAUACCUCGAAGAGUCCAGCAAUUGUCAAUCUACUUGAGAUCAUGACAGAAUUUACUCCGGAGCAACAACAUGCAUUCUGCCAGUUUGUGACUGGUGCUCCUCGGCUUCCACCUGGUGGCUUAGCCUCCCUAAAUCCUAAGCUGACUAUCGUUAGGAAGCACUCCUCGACUGCGGCGAAUACUUCAAAUGCAGCUGGAGCAGCAGAGUCUGCAGAUGAUGAUCUGCCUAGUGUCAUGACUUGUGCCAACUAUCUUAAACUUCCGCCAUACUCGACAAAGGAGGUUAUGCACAAGAAGCUGCUUUAUGCUAUCAACGAAGGCCAGGGGUCGUUUGAUCUUUCAUAG